rnacentral:rRNA from 7 species
UCUGGCGGCAGUAGCGCGGUGGUCCCACCUGACCCCAUGCCGAACUCAGAAGUGAAACGUCGUAGCGCCGAUGGUAGUGUGGGGUCUCCCCAUGCGAGAGUAGGGAACUGCCAGAC